rnacentral:rRNA from 1 species
GACGAACGCUGGCGGCGUGCUUAACACAUGCAAGUCGAACGGAAAGGCCCUGCUUUUGUGGCGUGCUCGAGUGGCGAACGGGUGAGUAACACGUGAGUAACCUGCCCUUAACUUUCGGAUAACUUCAGGAAACUGGGGCUAAUACCCGAUAUGAUCUCCUGCUGCACGGUGGUGGUUGGAAAGUUUCGGCGGUUGGGGAUGGACUCGCGGCUUAUCAGCUUGUUGGUGGGGUAGUGGCUUGCCAAGGCUUUGACGGGUAGCCGGCCUGAGAGGGUGACCGGCCACAUUGGGACUGAGAGACGGCCCAGACUCCUACGGGAGGCAGCAGUGGGGAAUAUUGCACAAUGGGCGGAAGCCUGAUGCAGCAACGCCGCGUGCGGGAUGACGGCCUUCGGGUUGAAAACCGCUGUCGCCUGUGACGAAGCGUGAGUGACGGUAAUGGGUAAAGAAGCACCGGCUAACUACGUG